GUUUAUAUGAGACAUGUAUUGUCUGUUCCAUGCUGCCCUCUUGCACACGGCUCACUUGAAAAACAGAUCAUCCCAAUGAGUUUUACCUGAUUAAAUAAAAGGUUAAAAUAAAUAAAAACACUUCCCUCAAACGUCGAGUUCGAGGUAAAUUAUCCGUGAGUGCGAGAGAAAGUUAACUCCAGGCAGCGAUAACAGUAUGAGGAUUUUUAUUUAAUAUAUGUAUAAUAACCAUAGAAUAUACAGACUAUAACCCUUUAGAACUCAUUUUUGACAAUCAAAUCAUAUUCUCUUAGAAUAAAACUUCCUUAUAAGACCAGAGGGGGAAAAUAUAGAAAGAUUGAAACAUUGCCAAUUAUUGUUAUACACCCAUAAGAGAAAUGACUCUAAAUAAAAACUAAUCAUUAAAACAGAAAAAAAAUACAACUUUAACAACUCCCUUUUUGUGUAAAAAAGGAAAAAAAAUAAGACAACACCCCACCAACGACAGCAUUAAUAAGAACGUUUAAAACCACAUCAGGAAACGGACCUUGCAUCAGGUAAGCCUUUAGAAAUCUGUCUUUAAGUGCAAUCGGCCACACAAAUGCUGUGUGUGUGUGUGUGUGUGUGUGUGUGUGUGUGUGUGUGUGUGUGUGUGUGUGUGUGUGUGUGUGUGUGUGUGUGUGUGUGUGUGUGUGUGUGUGUGUGUGUGUGUGUGUGCGUGUGUGUGGUGGGGGGGAGUAAGCAGCGUUAGUCCAGAGAAAGACGCUCAUGCAGUCAAACACAACUCUGGAGCGCAGAGCGGGAGACGCACACACCUGGAGACGCCACGACGAGGUGUGUCAGCGCACUGUUAACCGUCACACAACAUCCUCAUCAUCAACUCCCCCCAAACGCCCUUCAUCUCUUCCCCCCCCCCCCAAGCAUGAGACAGACGGACGGGGAGAUACAUUAAGAGGACCAGAGAGCUAACAACAGAACACCAACACACACACACACACCCCCCCACACAGACAGACAGACAUAUGUCGGGAGGGGGGAGAGAGAAGGGAGCAAGCUAAGGCAAAGUGCAGGUGUGCUGAUUGAGCCGUCAGAUUGGGACCAGUUCCUCCACACCACACACACACACACACACACACACACACACACACACACACACCCCCCACGGACACACACAAAUAGGUGAUGCUCCAAUUGGUGAUGAGGCCGUUGCUGCAGGGGCCCGGGGGGUGGGGGAUGGAGCAGCCCUUUGAGUGAAGCAUGGUGAGGGGGGGGGGGGGGGUUCGGUGACGCCCGGGAGCCCGUAGGUCCGGGAUGGGAUCAAACCAUCUCAUGUGAGACGCUCUGUGAUUGGGUAAGGCCGGGCCAUCGUCCUGGCAACAGGGGGAGCGGGAAGCAACAUGAACAGAGCUACCGGUCCAAGGGAGGAGCCAGGCGACAAGAGGGAGGAGCCAGGAGACGAGAGGGAGGAGACAGGAGACAAGAGGGAGGAGCCAGGAGACGAGAAGGAGGAGACAGGAGACGAGAGGGAGGAGCCAGGAGAUGAGAAGGAGGAGCCAGGAGACGAGAGGGAGGAGACAGGAGACGAGAAGGAGACAGGAGGCAGGAGACAAGAGGGAGGAGACACUGACAGGAGACAAGACGGAAGAGGGAGGAGACACUGACAGGAGACAAGACGGAAGAGGGAGGAGACAGGAGGGAGGAGACGAGAUUGGAGACAGGAGACGAGUGGGAGAUGAGAGAUUGUAGGGAGGAGACUAUACAUUAACAUGGAGGUGAGGUGAGCGGGAGGAGACGUACGGACAGACAGACGCACGGCCUGAUGAGCUCACACUGGAGAUAAACGAAGCAGAACUCGGAGCACAGCCGUCGACGCGGCGGAAAGACGCCAGCCGGCCUCAACGCUGGCUACGGAAAACAGGUCUGAACGAUGCCAACAUAAUUACUAAGUCUGAAGAUUAGUUGUUUUUUUGUCCGUUUUUCUUUUUUUUUUUUUACAAGAAAAAUACAACGGCUAUCGAAUAGCGAAAGGAAACGAGGGAGGAGGGAGGAGGGAGGAGGCAGCAAGCAGGAGCACAGCGGCGGAACGGAGUCUCACAUCACCGGUUUGAACCGGGGGGGGGAAGAAGUCUCCGUACGCCGUCUCUCAGUCUGCUCACUGCCCCAUCUCAGCCGUCACUAACCUAAUAAGCCUCUCGUUCAAAACGCCCCGUCACUGAUUCUCUUCUCCCCUCUAUGGUAGCGUCAGAAGUGGCAUGAUCAGAAUAGAUAUGGCAGAGAAUUACUAAGCGGUACUGUAAUAAUGCAAAGUAGUUUAGAUUCAAGUAACACCAGCCAUGGAAAUCAUUUCAAAGGACGCUUGAUUUUUUGGAGACAAUUUGAAAGUCAACGAGGACCUUUAAUUAAAAAAAGCAGAAGCUAAAUAUGGAGGAUGGAGCGGGCGGGGUCCUCGCCCGAGACACCGAGGCUGCUGCUGCUGGGAGGAGAAAGCGCUGCGCUCCAGGGAGGAGCCGGGGUGGUCAGCAGGACCCCCGCUCGCGACCUCUGACCCUGGAGCAGCUACUGAUGGGUUACAUUUUAAUCAUCACAUGCCAAGGAGCCCGUGUUGCUGAGCGCCGGUGAUGCAGAAGCACAGGAGCAGAAGCUCCGCUCAGCACGGGCCAGACCCCGGGACUCGGGGGGGCGUUGGAGAGAGCGUCACAAUAAGUUGCGUUGUCGAAAGGUCUUGUUAAUCAUUUACAAAAAUAAAACACAAAAAACCAAAACCAUUGUUAAAUAUCACACUUGAUCCAACGCUAAAUUCUCUCUUGCAUCAAAAAAGCUCCUCUAGAAACAGUUUUGAGUCUCUGGUUCACUCGGAAAAACUGCAAUCACAUCAAAAGACUAAAGUCGAGUUUCACUACAGUUAAAAAAUAAUGGCUGCAAGUAUCACAAGUGCAUCUGAAACGGGGCUCGGACCGCCCCCCCCCCUUGUUCCUUAGCUUUCCAUUUCUAAAUUACUUGGCGUUGUUUGAAGCGGGAACUUGAGUUGUGUUUUACCCUCAGAACAGUACAGGUUCAGGAAAUGCGUUGAAGUUCAGAGUACAAAAAUGUGAGCCACCGCCAGCUGAUCAUCAGAUACCCCCCCGAGAGGAAGAUAGCCCCCCUAGAGGGCGCUAGCCCCCAAGAGGAAGCUAGCCCCCAAGAGAG
ensembl:lncRNA